rnacentral:rRNA from 1 species
GAUGAACGCUGGCGGCGUGCUUAACACAUGCAAGUCGAACAGUGAACCAGGGCUUGCCCUGGGGAUUAGUGGCGAACGGGUGAGUAUCACGUGGGCAACCUGCCCCUGACUCUGGGAUAACUCCGGGAAACCGGGGCUAAUACCGGAUACGAGCUUCGACGACAUCGUCGAGGCUGGAAAGUUUUUCGGUCAGGGAUGGGCCCGCGGCCUAUCAGCUUGUUGGUGGGGUAACGGCCCACCAAGGCGACGACGGGUAGCCGGCCUGAGAGGGCGACCGGCGACGCUGGGACUGAGACACGGCCCGGACUCCUACGGGAGGCAGCAGGGGGGAAUAUUGCGCAAUGGGCGAAAGCCUGACGCAGCGACGCCGCGUGAGGGACGACGGCCUUCGGGUUGUAAACCUCUUUCAGCAGGGACGAAGCGAAAGUGACGGUACCUGCAGAAGAAGCACCGGCUAACUACGUGCCAGCAGCCGCCGUAAUAC